CCACAUUACUCUUGAGGUGAAAUGCUUACACUUUCAUUUAUAGACCAAAUAAUGUUUAAUUUAUAAUUUGUAAUUAUAAUAUUAAAUCUUAAUCUAACCUAUGGCAUUCAUCAUUUACUGCAAAGACUACUUGGGUAUCUAAUCCUGUUUGUGCUCUGUGCCUUCGUCCUUUAACGUCAGUUUCUACAUAGAGGGCUGCCUUCGCCUUUACCGAGUCCCUUUGGUAUCAUAGAAUUUCAUCUCUCCUCCUCAAGUACUGCCCUCUUACAUAAAACUCUAGUCAAGUACUAACAUUAUAGAAGCUAUAUUGACCGUCUAGGUACCCUUUAAACCUAAUUAAGAUGAAUAACACUAGUCUCUUACGUAUUACCGCGACUGCUGGCACGCAAUUAGUCAAGACACGAUAUAUAUMCUGUCAUUAUCAAUAUAUAAACAAAGCUUUAUUCAAUUUUAAUACAAUCCUAUAGAUCAUAUUCAAAGAUAUGAUCAAAAUAGGACUUGCCACUUCUCCAAGUUGCCAGUUCAGCCGUUAG
rnacentral:rRNA from 1 species